rnacentral:rRNA from 1 species
AACUCGCCUACAUGAAGCUGGAGUUACUAGUAAUCGCAGAUCAGAAUGCUGCGGUGAAUGCGUUCCCGGGUCUUGCACACACCGCCCGUCACACCACGGAAGUUGGGGCGCCCGAAGCCACUUAGCUAACCCUUUUGGGAAGCGAGUGUCGAAGGUGAAAUCAAUAACUGGGGUGAAGUCGUAACAAGGUAGC